rnacentral:rRNA from 1 species
CCUACGUGGUGCAGCCGUGGGGGAUAUUGCACCCUGGGGGGAACCCUGCUGCAGCGACGCCGCGUGGGUGAAGAAGCGCCUCGGCGCGUAAAGCCCUGUCAGCAGGGACGAAAAUGACGGUACCUGAAGAAGAAGCCCCGUCUAACUACGUGCCAGCAGCCGCGGUCAUACGUCGGGGGCAAGCGUUAUCCGGAUUUACGGGGUGUAAAGGGGGCGCCGACGGCGAUGCAAGCCAGGGGGGAAAGCCCGGUGCCCAACCCCGGGACUGCUCUUGGAACUGCGUGGCCGGAGUGCAGGAGGGGCAGGCGGAAUUCCUGGUGUAGCGGUGAAAUGCGUAGAUAUCAGGAGGAACACCGGUGGCGAAGGCGGCCUGCUGGACUGAAACUGACGUUGAGGCCCGAAAGCGUGGGGAGCAAACAGGAUUAGAUACCCGAGUAGUCC